rnacentral:pre_miRNA from 1 species
UCUUAUGGACGAGCAAAGGAAGUGGUCUCUUGAGAUGGAACCUACUCCUGGUGAAGAGGCUGUGAA